ensembl:snRNA U1 U1 spliceosomal RNA
CUACUUACCUGGAAGGGGAUACCAUUAUCAAGAAGGUGGUUCACCCAGGGUGUGGCUCAGCCAUUGCACUCCGGCUGUGCUGACUCCAAAUGUGGGAAUCUCGACUGCAUAAUUUCUGGUAGUGGGGGACUGCAUUUGUGUUCUCCCCUG